GAUGAACGCUGGCGGCGUGCCUAAUACAUGCAAGUUGAGCGAACGGACGAGAAGCUUGCUUCUCUGAUGUUAGCGGCGGACGGGUGAGUAACACGUGGAUAACCUACCUAUAAGACUGGGAUAACUUCGGGAAACCGGAGCUAAUACCGGAUAAUAUUUCGAACCGCAUGGUUCAAAAGUGAAAGACGGUCUUGCUGUCACUUAUAGAUGGAUCCGCGCUGCAUUAGCUAGUUGGUAAGGUAACGGCUUACCAAGGCAACGAUGCAUAGCCGACCUGAGAGGGUGAUCGGCCACACUGGAGCUGAGAAAAGGUCCAGACUCCUACGGGAGGCAGCAGUAGGGAAUCUUCCGCAAUGGGCGAAAGCCUGACGGAGCAACGCCGCGUGAGUGAUGAAGGUCUUCGGAUCGUAAAACUCUGUUAUUAGGGAAGAACAUAUGUGUAAGUAACUGUGCACAGCUUGACGGUACCUAAUCAGAAAGCCACGGCUAACUACGUG
rnacentral:rRNA from 1 species